CUUGCUUCUCUUGAGAGCGGCGGACGGGUGAGUAAUGCCUAGGAAUCUGCCUGGUAGUGGGGGAUAACGUUCGGAAACGGACGCUAAUACCGCAUACGUCCUACGGGAGAAAGCAGGGGACCUUCGGGCCUUGCGCUAUCAGAUGAGCCUAGGUCGGAUUAGCUAGUUGGUGGGGUAAUGGCUCACCAAGGCGACGAUCCGUAACUGGUCUGAGAGGAUGAUCAGUCACACUGGAACUGAGACACGGUCCAGACUCCUACGGGAGGCAGCAGUGGGGAAUAUUGGACAAUGGGCGAAAGCCUGAUCCAGCCAUGCCGCGUGUGUGAAGAAGGUCUUCGGAUUGUAAAGCACUUUAAGUUGGGAGGAAGGGCAGUAAAUUAAUACUUUGCUGUUUUGACGUUACCGACAGAAUAAGCACCGGCUAACUCUGUGCCAGCAGCCGCGGUAAUACAGAGGGUGCAAGCGUUAAUCGGAAUUACUGGGCGUAAAGCGCGCGUAGGUGGUUCGUUAAGUUGGAUGUGAAAUCCCCGGGCUCAACCUGGGAACUGCAUUCAAAACUGACGAGCUAGAGUAUGGUAGAGGGUGGUGGAAUUUCCUGUGUAGCGGUGAAAUGCGUAGAUAUAGGAAGGAACACCAGUGGCGAAGGCGACCACCUGGACUGAUACUGACACUGAGGUGCGAAAGC
rnacentral:rRNA from 1 species